CCCCUCUCAGGAUCCCACCUGAAGAGUUUUUAGUACUCUACCAGUCUCAACUAUGAGAGGGAGAGUAAAGCAGUGGCAUAACCAUUCCAUUCCUAGCUUGGACAGUGGCUAGCAAAUGGAAGGCAAUCUGCUACAAGU